rnacentral:rRNA from 1 species
GCAUAUCAAUAAGCGGAGGAAAAGAAACUAACAAGGAUUCCCCUAGUAACUGCGAGUGAAGCGGGAAAAGCUCAAAUUUUGAAUCUGGCAGUCUUUGCAGGCCGUCCGAGUUGUAAUCUAGAGAAGCGUCUUCCGCGCCGGCCUGUGUACAAGUCUCCUGGAAGGGAGCGUCAUAGAGGGUGAGAAUCCCGUCUCUGACACGGACCACCGGUGCUAUGUGAUGCGCUCUCGACGAGUCGAGUUGUUUGGGAAUGCAGCUCAAAAAGGGUGGUAAACUCCAUCUAAAGCUAAAUAUUGGCGAGAGACCGAUAGCGAACAAGUACCGUGAGGGAG